rnacentral:rRNA from 1 species
AGUGAACGCUGGCGGUAGGCCUAACACAUGCAAGUCGAACGGCUGCACAGUAUGAGCUUGCUCUUACUCGUGGCGAGUGUCGGACUGGUGAGUAAUACAUCUGAAUCUACUUUUUCUUUUGUGAUAACUUAGUGAAACUUACGCUAUUACCGCAUACGACCUACGGUUUAAAUCAUGGGAUCUUCGGACCUUGCGCGAUUGAAUCAGCCGAUGUCGGAUUAGCUAGUUGGCGGGGUAAAGGCCCACCAAGGCGACGAUCCGUAGCUGAUCUGAGAGGAUGAUCAGACAGACUGGAAGUGAGAGACGGAGAAGACUCCUAAGGGAGGCAGCAGUAGGGAAAAUUGGACAAUAGGAGAAAGAGGAAGCAAGGAAUACCGCGAGGGAGAAGAAGGGCUUAGGGUUGUAAAGCGCUGCUGUUGGGAAAGAAAAGCAGAAGGUUAAUACCCCGCUAAACUGACGGCACCAAAAGAAUAAGCACCGGCCAACUUCGUG